rnacentral:rRNA from 1 species
GCCCAGACUCCUACGGGAGGCAGCAGCUAAGAAUCUUCUACAAUGGACGAAAGUCUGAUAGAGCGACGCCCGCGUUGGUUAUUAAAGGCCGAAAGGUGUUAAAGCCCUUUCUUAUCCAAGGAUUACCCUUAGAAGGCAUUGCCUGUUGGAAUACCGGUUGGUUAGAAUAUAAGCCCCGGCCAAUAACUUGCCAGCAGCCGCGGUUACCCUAUUGGGCCAACCGUGUUCCGAAACCAUGGGGCUUAAAGGCGCCUUAGCAGAUAUUGCAACCUUGUUUUGAAAAACCGCAGCCCACUUGCGGGAGCGCGCUUAGAACUGCCUAUCUUGAGUUCACGAGGGGGAAGCUGGAAUUCCACGUGUACGGGUGAAAUCUGGUAGAUAUCUGGAAGAACAUCAGUGGCGAAGGCGAGCUUCCGGCUUUGAACUGACGAUGAGGCGCGAAAGCGUGGGGAGCGAACAGGAUUAGAUACCCUGGUAGUCCACGCUGUCAACGAUGUGCACUAGGUGUUGGGCCGUUGAAGGCUCAGUGCCGUAGCUAACGCGUUAAGUGCCCCCGCCUGGGAAGUAUGCUAGCAAGAGUGACACUCAAAGGAAUUGACGGGGGCCCGCACAAGCGGUCGAAGCAUGUGAUUUAAUUAGAUGAUACGCGAGUUACCUUAGCAGGGCAUGACAAAGAAAGGAAAGCGCAUGAGACUGCGCAGCCCUUCGGGGACACAAUACAGGUACUGCAUGGCUCUCGUCAGCUCGUGCCGUGAGGUGUUAGGUUAAGUCCCGCGACGAGCGCAACCCUUGUUGUCCGAGCGACCAGCAUUUCGGAUGGGGACUCAGACAAGCGUGCACGGUGACAAAGCAGAGAGGAAGGUGGAGGACGAAGUCAAGUCAUCAUGGACCUUAUGUCCUGGACUACACACGUGAUACAAUGGCCGGUACAAAGCGAAGCACAACCGCGAGGUGGAGCAACACGCAGAAAGCUGGUCUCAGUUCGGAUCGGAGUCUGAAACCCGACUCCGUGAAAG